rnacentral:rRNA from 1 species
UCCAGCAGCAUACCACCCUGCAUCCCACUGCUGGCUUGCUUCUGACGCUAAGCAGGGUUGGCCCUGGUUGGGAGACCAGAUGCUGCUGGAA